GACGAGGGGUCCUAGCGUUGUCCGGAAUCAUUGGGCGUAAAGAGCGUGUAGGCGGCCACUUAAGUCCUGCGUGAAAUCUUGCGGCUCAACCGCAAGCGGUCGUGGGAAACUGGGUGGCUAGAGUGCGGGAGAGGAGAGUGGAAUUCCUGGUGUAGCGGUGGAAUGCGCAGAUAUCAGGAAGAACACCCGUGGCGAAGGCGGCUCUCUGGAACGCAACUGACGCUGAGACGCGAAAGCGUGGGGAGCAAACAGG
rnacentral:rRNA from 1 species